rnacentral:sRNA from 1 species
GCCGGGCGGGUGGUGCACACCUGUAAUCCCAGGGCUGGGGAGGCUGAGACAGGAGGAUCAGGAGUUCAAAGCCAGCCUCAGCAACUGUGAGGCAGGAAGCCACUCAGUGAGAUCCUGUCUCUA